CUUGUCCUUAUCUGUAAGUCGCUUUGGAUAAAAGCGUCUGCUAAAUGACUAAAU
rfam:Danio rerio chromosome 5, GRCz11 reference primary assembly.